GUUAUGAAAAGCGCCCUCCCACCCCGCGCCGCACCCGUGAGUCCUUGUGAGCAGAGCUGAGCACCUCACUCACAGUGCUGUACGAUGCAUUUUCUACAGUAUUACAUUCGUGUUUCUACAUACUGCAAUUUAACGCCAGGUCAACAAUAGGUCCAGUUUCUGAAACAGGAUCAGACACAUGAACAUGUGGGAAUAAGGUACAGCACACACAAAUUAAAGAGUCAAAGUACAGGUUGUUCUGCAUCUCCAGCAUCGUGCUAUGUCCGUCACUUAACACCCCUCUCCUCACUCCUUUUGUGUCCCCCUGAGCAGACAGUUCCAACAGAAGCCUAACAGUGCCAAGUACCAACUUGGAACAUACCCUGGGGGUCCUGCUUCAGCUUACAGUGGGUCCCAUCUGUGUCACGUCACCCCUUCCAGUUAAAAACAAGGUGGAGAUCAGUAGCUUCGCAGGACCAUUGACCAGGGUGUGAAAUAUUCCAAGUUGGCAGGCACAGUUAUCUGCAAGUUAAUCAUGACCAGCACCUUUUCUUAAACACAGAAAGCAAGUUGGCCAGUAUGCUUAAACUCAUCAGCUGCUGCAGCUGCACAAAAAUAGCUCUACACUCACAAUACUGCCUUUUUUCUUUAAGAUGAGUAACAAAUUAGACAUGCACAGUUCACAUACACACAAAGAAAAAGACUGUGGUUCUCAGGAAGCCCUUUAUUAAGUGAAGGCAUUAAAGGAGAAACUACUGUUAUUCACCAAGCUUCUCGUCUUGAGGUGGUUCAUACUGAGCCAGCUGUGGAUUUAAAGAGAGGAAUUUAGUUAGCUGCAACAUUUCAGAGACACUUUCUACAUUAAGAAAUGCAUGAAAACAUUUGGUCUGGAAGUGUUCCAUCUACUCUGAGCAUUUUAAUCCAUCACUGAUAUUUAUGCAGGUCCAUUUUCAAGUCAGGCAACAAAAUAACCCUUCCCUCAAAACAUCCAUUUGUCUUGUACAAUCACGCAGUUAUAACAAGGAGGGCUUUUUAGAUGCACUUUCAAGCAUUAAGUCUUGCCCUUAAUCUUCCCCAUUUCUUGUUCUAGGUCUCACUAAGUACUUUUUAUUGCAAAUAGCAGCUGAUAAUAACCAGUGCUUUGUAAACAUUAAUACUGGAAAACAUGUGAAGCAAGAGUUAUCAUUUGAAGGCUGAAGAACGUGAAAGCACAAAUAAAUCCAUGGUUA